rnacentral:rRNA from 1 species
UACGAAGGGGGCGAGCGUUGUUCGGAAUUACUGGGCGUAAAGGGCGCGCAGGCGGCUCUGUAAGUCAGAUGUGAAAGCCCCGGGCUUAACCUGGGAAUUGCAUUUGAUACUCUGGAGCUUGAGUACGGGAGAGGAGAGUGGAAUUCCCAGUGUAGAGGUGAAAUUCGUAGAUAUUGGGAAGAACACCAGUGGCGAAGGCGGCUCUCUGGACCGUAACUGACGCUGAGGCGCGAAAGCGUGGGGAGCAAACAGG